AACGAACGCUGGCGGCAUGCCUAACACAUGCAAGUCGAACGAUGCUUUCGGGCAUAGUGGCGCACGGGUGCGUAACGCGUGGGAAUCUGCCCUUCGGUUGGGAAUAACUGAGAGAAAUUUCAGCUAAUACCUUAUAAUGUCUUCGGACCAAAGAUUUAUCGCCGAGGGAUGAGCCCGCGUAGGAUUAGGUAGUUGGUGGGGUAAUGGCCUACCAAGCCGACGAUCCUUAGCUGGUCUGAGAGGAUGAUCAGCCACACUGGGACUGAGACACGGCCCAGACUCCUACGGGAGGCAGCAGUGGGGAAUAUUGGACAAUGGGCGCAAGCCUGAUCCAGCAAUGCCGCGUGAGUGAUGAAGGCCUUAGGGUUGUAAAGCUCUUUUACCAGGGAUGAUAAUGACAGUACCUGGAGAAUAAGCUCCGGCUAACUCCGUGCCAGCAGCCGCCGCAG
rnacentral:rRNA from 1 species